AACAGAUGGACAGCCUGAGCAAGGGAUUACUCUGGUAUCCAAGAAAUAGAAAAAGAACACCAGGAAGGAUUCCAACACCUUGAGUGGAUCCUCCAUCAGAGAUUUAUGGAAAGACAUGGGCAUGAGAUGUGGAAACUGAAGGCCAGAGAGGGGAAAUGACUUGUCCCUAAGGCUAGAGGCAGUGUCAGGAUUAGAACCCACAUCUCUCAGGUCUGACUCCACUGCUUUUCCCAGGAGGCUACAGCACGAAGUUUUGGACAGUGCUCCAAAAGGGGGAGAAGGAGAGGGAGCAGGCUAGAAGGAAAGGUGGAGAGGGAAGGUUUUCCACCACCACCUGAGACAAGGUUUGGAAAAAAAAAUAUAAGAAGUUUUCAUCAGUCAUCUGCACAAGCUCAUAUUCAUACCCCAAA